UCUCCAAUGGUCUCUGCUUU
rnacentral:misc_RNA from 1 species